AGUUCUAGGUGAGUAUAUGGUUGGGUGAAGAAGCGGAAGAGAUAUGUGAUGAAACCCAAGCCCUUGUCUUUAGCAUUGAAAUAGCUCUGUGACUCGGUUUCAGUGGAACACUCCAUUCAGGCUGACGGGUUUCUUUCCUUCCUCUUUCUGUAAUGAGUGAGAUUUACAAGAAGCUGAAUCAAGCCUACUAUAGAUACUGUACUACCAAGAUGUGGCAGGGAGUGCUGGUUGUGCACAAAAACCCACUCCCCCUUUUCCCCCAGGAACUGACUCGGAGCUGGAUACUGACUUCCCAACCAGCCAGUUUUCUGCCGCCGCGUGGCUAAGAUCUCUCCACAACAGCAGGAAUGCUGGUGCCACUUCGGGAUCUGGACCUAAGACAAAGGGGCUGAAGUUCCCUGCCUAUCUCUUCCCCUUCCCGCUGGCUGGAACCUAGAAACAGCGACUCCCCUUCGACCAUGUAAACAACAAUUUUCCCCUUGUGUCUCCUCCUGCUCCUGUGGUGAAGCAACAAGACGAAAGGAACCCACUUGCCUGAGUCAUGCAAGAGAAAUGAAGCUAUAUAUUCAUGGCAGGUGUGGUCACAUCUGCUUCUUGAUCAGUGGUUCUCAGCCUUGACUACAAUUAGAAUCACACUGAGAGAAACCAAGACCCUUUUGGAGAACUGGAUGGUUCCAGGUAUAGGGUAGAGAAAAUAUAAGGUUAUUACAAGAUAAAGAAUAAAAUAAUGUCAUUUGCAGCAACAUGGAUAGACCUGGAGAUCAUCAUUCUAAGUGAAAGCCAGUGUACAACUCUGAAGAGAGAAGAAUGGCCACUGUGUAUAAUGCUGGAGAAAUCCUCCCUGCCACCCAUCUUUCCUUCUGUUGGACAGCCAGGCCAGUCUUUCUAUAACAACUUUUCGAUUCUGAAUCUUGCUCAAAAUUUGCUAAGGUAUCCCUUUUGUCUCCUGCCCAGAAUCCAGGCUCUCUAACCUGCCUUCAGUGAUUGCCCUCCCACCAAAAAUCACCCCCCAAACAGGGCCAAACUGGUCCAUUUUUUUUCCCUUUGCUCAUCCUGCUUAAAGUGAAUUUUAUCCAAAUCCUAAUCACCCUUCAAGAGCCAGCUCAAGGCCUCUCUCAUUCAUAAGAGCCUUCCCAGUCCUUGCGGCUCACAUAUUAACUCUCUCUGAGUGCUUGUCUGAGCUCUUUUUUCUUUUGGCAUUCAAUAAAAUAUUCCCUUUUUA